rnacentral:rRNA from 1 species
AUUGAACGCUGGCGGCAGGCCUAACACAUGCAAGUCGAGCGGAGCGGCGGACGGGUGAGUAAUGCCUAGGUAUCUGCCUGGUCGUGGGGGAUAACGUCCGGAAACGAGCGCUAAUACCGCAUACUAUCAGAUGAGUCUACGUCGGAUGAGAUAGUUGGUGGGGUAAGGGCCUACCAAGGCGAUGAUCCGGAACUGGUCUGAGAGGAUGAUCAGUCACACUGGAACUGAGACACGGUCCAGACUCCUACGGGAGGCAGCAGUGGGGAAUAUUGCACAAUGGGCGAAAGCCUGAUGCAGCCAUGCCGCGUGUAUGAAGAAGGCCUUCGGGUUGUAAAGUACUUUCAGCGGGGAGGCGUUACCCGCAGAAGAAGCACCGGCUAACUCCGUGCCAGCAGCCGCGGUAAUUC